AACGGGCCCUUCGGGGUCAGUGGCAGACGGGUGAGUAACGCGUGGGAACGUACCCUUUUCUACGGAAUAACGCAUGGAAACGUGUGCUAAUACCGUAUACGCCCUUCGGGGGAAAGAUUUAUCGGAGAAGGAUCGGCCCGCGUUGGAUUAGCUAGUUGGUGGGGUAAAGGCCUACCAAGGCGACGAUCCAUAGCUGGUCUGAGAGGAUGAUCAGCCACAUUGGGACUGAGACACGGCCCAAACUCCUACGGGAGGCAGCAGUGGGGAAUAUUGGACAAUGGGGGCAACCCUGAUCCAGCCAUGCCGCGUGAGUGAUGAAGGCCUUAGGGUUGUAAAGCUCUUUCACCGGUGAAGAUAAUGACGGUAACCGGAGAAGAAGCCCCGGCUAACUUCGUGCCAGCAGCCGCGGUAAUACGAAGGGGGCUAGCGUUGUUCGGAAUUACUGGGCGUGAAGCGCACGUAGGCGGACUUUUAAGUCAGGGGUGAAAUCCCGGGGCUCAACCCCGGAACUGCCUUUGAUACUGGAAGUCUGGAGUAUGGAAGAGGUGAAGUGGAAUUCCGAGUGUAGAGGUGAAAUUCGUAGAUAUUCG
rnacentral:rRNA from 1 species